rnacentral:rRNA from 1 species
UACGUAGGGUGCAAGCGUUGUCCGGAAUUAUUGGGCGUAAAGAGCUUGUAGGCGGUUUGUCGCGUCUGCUGUGAGAACUCGGGGCUUAACCCCGGGCCUGCAGUGGGUACGGGCAGACUAGAGUGCGGUAGGGGAGACUGGAAUUCCUGGUGUAGCGGUGAAAUGCGCAGAUAUCGGGAAGAACACCCGUGGCGAAGGCGGUUCUCUGGGACGGUACUGACGCUGAGACGCGAAAGCGUGGGGAGCGAACAGG